UGCGUGCUGUUGGCAGAAGUGAGCGCCCUCUGACUUCCUGGCGCUGCUGACACGCACUGGGCGCUGGGCAGGGAUUGCGUGGCUGCGGAGUGACCUUUCGCACAGCCUUCUCCAGGCGGGCUUAACCCUUGGGACGCGCACUAGUUCCUCACGGGGCUCUCGCUAGGCUCGGGAACAGAAGCCGGACCCCAGUCUGACACAUUCCGCCCACAGCUAAGCUGAUUUAGCGCCAAAUUGCAUCCCGCUUUCAAAAUCCUGAAUGAUGGAUGCUUGAUAUGUAAGAAAGAACCAACGAAACCUGUCAUUACUGUGAUGCUUUCUGGAUGGUGGUAUGAAAGGGAUCAUCUGAAACAAGACCCUCAACCAACAUCCCUCCCCAUGAUAUUUCUAUAACUGAAGCUCUACUCUGCUAUUGUUAUGGCCAAAUGAGAUACAGCAUCAUCUACAACAACCAUCCCAAUUAUGUCUCUCAUUUCCAGUUGCAAAAUCUCAUCAAUAUGUUUGGUUUACUAAUAAAUAAAUAAAUAAAUAAAUAUUAUUACUACAAUUUAUUGAGAAGUAUCUGUUUCUAUGUCAUAAAAUUACUAACAUUUUAUUAGUUCAAAACAGCAGUUGUUUUUCUGUUUGAUGGAUUUUUAUUUUUCUGAUGCUCAGAAAACCUGAAUUGUAGUCCAGAGUGUACAUUUUUAUUAAAACAGCAUUG